rnacentral:rRNA from 1 species
CCCUACGGGGUGCAGCAGGGGCGAGCAUACUCAAUGCCGAGCUUCUGGUAAAGAAAGGACUGCUCUAAAUUGGCGGCAUUUGAAAAGCAGUAUGCUCUGAUCGAAACAUGUUGAUAAUAGCCUGGGAGUUGACGGCCGCCUGCAAUUUAUCCUGUCGGUAUUGCCGCGCUUCUGCCUCUCAUGAGCCGGACCAGGGCGAGCUGGACACAGAUGAGGCCAAAAGGUUCGUAGAGAGCAUUGCUCCCCUGAAGCCGAUGCUCAUCCUCAGCGGGAGAGC